AGAGUUUGAUCCUGGCUCAGAAUCAACGCUGGCGGCGUGCCUAACACAUGCAAGUCGAGCGCGAAAGGGGGGGCAACUCCCCGAGUAGAGCGGCGAACGGGUGAGUAACGCGUGGGUCAUCUACCUUCGAGUGGGGAAUAACAGCGGGAAACUGCUGCUAAUACCGCAUGACAUCGCCGGGCCUUGCGGCCUGGCGAUCAAAGCCGGGGACCGCAAGGCCUGGCGCUUGAAGAUGAGCCCGCGUCCGAUUAGCUAGUUGGCGGGGUAAUGGCCCACCAAGGCGACGAUCGGUAGCCGGCCUGAGAGGGCGGACGGCCACACUGGGACUGCGACACGGCCCAGACUCCUACGGGAGGCAGCAGUGGGGAAUUUUUCGCAAUGGGGGAAACCCUGACGAAGCAACGCCGCGUGGAGGAUGAAGGCCUUCGGGUCGUAAACUCCUGUCGACCGGGACGAACGUAGUCCGGCCCAAUACGCCGAGCUAUCGACUGUACCGGUAAAGGAAGCUCCGGCUAACUCUGUGCCAGCAGCCGCGGUAAUACAGAGGGAGCGAGCGUUGUUCGGAAUUACUGGGCGUAAAGGGCGCGUAGGCGGUCCGAUAAGUCCCGUGUGAAAUCCCUCGGCUCAACUGAGGAACGGCACGGGAAACUGACGGGCUUGAGUUCGGGAGAGGGAAGCGGAAUUCCGGGUGUAGCGGUGAAAUGCGUAGAUAUCCGGAGGAACACCGGUGGCGAAGGCGGCUUCCUGGACCGACACUGACGCUGAGGCGCGAAAGCUAGGGGAGCAAACGGGAUUAGAUACCCUAGUAGUCC
rnacentral:rRNA from 1 species